AACGAACGCUGGCGGCAGGCCUAACACAUGCAAGUCGAGCGAGGUAGCAAUACCUAGCGGCGGACGGGUGAGUAACGCGUGGGAACGUGCCCCUUGGUACGGAAUAGCCCCGGGAAACUGGGAGUAAUACCGUAUGAGCUCUACGGAGGAAAGAUUUAUCGCCAAGGGAUCGGCCCGCGUUGGAUUAGGUAGUUGGUGGGGUAAUGGCCUACCAAGCCGACGAUCCAUAGCUGGUUUGAGAGGAUGAUCAGCCACACUGGGACUGAGACACGGCCCAGACUCCUACGGGAGGCAGCAGUGGGGAAUCUUAGACAAUGGGCGCAAGCCUGAUCUAGCCAUGCCGCGUGAGCGAUGAAGGCCUUAGGGUUGUAAAGCUCUUUCAGCUGGGAAGAUAAUGACUGUACCAGCAGAAGAAGCCCCGGCUAACUCCGUGCCAGCCGCCGCCGUAA
rnacentral:rRNA from 1 species